UUAUAAGUAAGUUCAUUAUUGAAACUUUGCAUGAAUGCAUAUGCAAUAAUAAUCCAGUAAUAUCCUUUACUAUAAUAAAGAAUUGAAAUACAAUAACAUGCAUAGUACACAUGUAUACUAUGCAUGUUAUAUGCACUUUUAUUUUGAAGUACAUUUUGCUCACAAUAUUUCUGUUCUGUAAGUAAAGUAUUGAUGGUAAUACUUGCUACUUAAAUCAAAAUGCUUCCCCGCCUGUGGAAACAAAGAGGACCAGAGGCUGCUUGUUGUAUACUGGUGCUGUACUGUGGAGCUGGUGAAUGUAUUCAUGGAGUAGUUUAUUUAUAGAGAGGUGACAGAUUAUUAAUGGAAACAUCAGAUUGUUUUGUGGGGUCAUGUCCUCGGUAUUUCUACGACCCUGCAUGAUUUAGAUAAACCGAAUAAAAUAAAAUAAACUGUGAGAUAAGGUGAUUAAAAGAAUUGUGUCUUUAAAAAAAGCCUUUUUUAUUUGUAUAGAUGUAUUCACCGUUGUCAUUGUGUUGGUGCACUGGUCCAGUUUGGGAACCACUCACUGGUUUAUUUUACAGCUUCAGAGGCCGGCAAAUGCUGCUGUCAAUCACUCAGUCUGGAUGCACCUCCUUUCCAGUUGGGAGCGCGCGGGGGCUUCGCAUCUGGAUCUUUACGCGUCGCUCGGUCCACGCCCACUAGACUGCCCUCUUCCCCCGCUGCGGCCCACACACACACACUCGGCUCAGGACUUUUUUUUCCGCGGCUGGAGACCUGUCGUGCUCUUCUCCUUCUUCUCCUUCUGUUUUUUUUUUUUUUACAGCUCCUACAAUUCGUCAAGUCUCGUCUCGCUCUUUCUUUUACAAUGGCCGUGCGUGGCGUGAUUUGCGCUCAGCAGCGCAAUAGUUAAUGAGUGCCGGAUGCGCCCUCACUCCAGCAGACCGCUACAGUACGAAGAUGGCGUCGGAGGGAGCCAGCGGAGAGCAGCCUCCUCCGGUACAAACACUGGCAACUGCCGUGCUGGGAAGUGUCGACACGAAAUGUGAGUUCAACAUGGAUAACUUGAGCAAGCCAGAGCUACUCACCCUGCUGAGUAUCAUGGAGGGGGAGCUGGAGGCCCGCGACCUGGUCAUAGAGGCCCUGAGGGUGAGUCUAGACAACACACUCCUGUACUCAUUAGCUAAGCCUCUGCCGAACUGCUAUUGUCAGGUUAAGUCAAACACAACCUG
rnacentral:lncRNA from 1 species